rnacentral:rRNA from 1 species
CCUGCCUUUCAGUUGGGGAUAACCGAGGGAAACUUUGGCUAAUACCGAGUUCGUGCUUCGAAGGCAUCUUCGGAGCAUAAAAGGGGCCUGUAAAGCCUCGCUGAUUGAUGGACCUGCGGCGCAUUAGUUAGUUGGUGAGAUAACAGCCCACCAAGACGAGGAUGCGUAGCCGACCUGAGAGGGUGAUCGGCCACACUGGAACUGAGACACGGUCCAGACUCCUACGGGAGGCAGCAGUAGGGAGUUUUCGGCAAUGGGGGAAACCCUGACCGAGCAACGCCGCGUGAGUGAUGAAGGUCUUCGGAUUGUAAAGCUCUGUUAUAAGGGAAGAACGGCAGCUAGAGGAAAUGCUAGCUGUUUGACGGUACUUUAUGAGAAAGCCACGGCUAACUACGUGCCAGCAGCCGCGGUAAUACGUAGGUGGCAAGCGUUAUCCGGAAUUAUUGGGCGUAAAGAGUGAGCAGGCGGCAGUUUAAGUUUGGAGUCAAAGCGAGGGGCUCAACCCCUUAACGCUCUGAAAACUGAACAGCUAGAGUGCGAGAGAGGUAAGUGGAAUUCCAUGUGUAGCGGUGAAAUGCGUAGAUAUAUGGAGGAACACCAGUGGCGAAGGCGACUUACUAGCUCGAUACUGACGCUCAGUCACGAAAGCGUGGGUAGCAAAUAGGAUUAGAUACCCUAGUAGUCCACGCUGUAAACGAUGAGAACUA